rnacentral:rRNA from 1 species
AGGAUGAACGCUAGCGGCAGGCCUAAUACAUGCAAGUCGAACGGAGUAGCAAUACUUAGUGGCAAACGGGUGCGUAACGCGUAAACAACCUGCCCCAAACCGGGGGAUAGCCUGGCGAAAGCCGGGGUAAACCCGCAUAGUCUCUCUUCGUCACCUGGCGAGUUGAGUAAGCAUUUAUGGGUUUGGGAGGGGUUUGCGUCUGAUUAGGUAGUUGGCGGGGUAACGGCCCACCAAGCCUUCGAUCAGUA